rnacentral:rRNA from 1 species
AAAGUCCCCUUCGGGGGGCAAGUAGAGUGGCGCACGGGUGAGUAACACGUAGGUAAUCUACCUUCGGAUGGGGAAUAACAAUCGGAAACGGUUGCUAAUACCGCAUAAUGCAGCGGCACCUAAUGGUGACAGUUGUUAAAGCGGGGGAUCGAAAGACCUCGCGUCUGAAGAGGAGCCUGCGGUGGAUUAGCUAGUUGGUAGGGUAACGGCUUACCAAGGCAACGAUCCGUAGCCGGCCUGAGAGGGCGGUCGGCCACACUGACACUGACAUACGGGUCAGACUCCUACGGGAGGCAGCAGUCGGGAAUUUUGGGCAAUGGGCGAAAGCCUGACCCAGCAACGCCGCGUGAAGGAUGAAAUCCCUCGGGAUGUAAACUUCGCAAGAACGGGAAGAAUAAGUCUGUGUAAAUAUCACAGAUGAUGACGGUACCGUUUGUAAGCUCCGGCUAACUCCGUGCCAGCAGCCGCGGUAAUACGGGGGGAGCAAGCGUUGUUCGGAUUUACUGGGCGUAAAGGGCGCGUAGGCGGCCACCGCAAGUCAAUUGUGAAAUCUCCGGGCUUAACUCGGAAAGGUCAACUGAUACUGCGGGGCUAGAGUGCGGAAGGGGCAACUGGAAUUCUCGGUGUAGCGGUGAAAUGCGUAGAUAUCGAGAGGAACACCUGCGGCGAAGGCGGGUUGCUGGGCCGACACUGACGCUGAUGCGCGAAAGCCAGGGGAGCGAACGGGAUUAGAUACCCCGGUAGUCCUGGCCUUAAACGAUGAAUGCUUGGUGUCUGGGGUUAUAAAGUCCCCGGGUGCCGUCGCUAACGCUUUAAGCA